rnacentral:rRNA from 1 species
AGUGAACGCUGGCGGUAGGCCUAACACAUGCAAGUCGAACGGCGGCACAGGAGAGCUUGCUCUCUGGGUGGCGAGUGGCGGACGGGUGAGGAAUACAUCGGAAUCUACUCUGUCGUGGGGGAUAACGUAGGGAAACUUACGCUAAUACCGCAUACGACCUACGGGUGAAAGCAGGGGAUCUUCGGACCUUGCGCGAUUGACUGAGCCGAUGUCGGAGUAGCUAGUUGGCGGGGUAAAGGCCCACCAAGGGGAAGGUCCGUAGCUGGUCUGAGGGGAUUAGCGGCCACACUGGAACUGAGACACGGUCCAGACUCCUACGGGAGGCAGCAGUGGGGAAUAUUGGACAAUGGGCGCAAGCCUGAUACAGCAAUACCGCGUGGGUGAAGAAGGCCUUCGGGUUGUAAAGCCCUUUUGUUGGGAAAGAAAUCCAGCCGGCUAAUACCCGGUUGGGAUGACGGUACCCAAAGAAUAAGCACCGGCUAACUUCGUGCCAGCCGCCGCCGUAA